CGUUCCAUGGCCAAACUGGUGAAGGCAUUACAGGCGAAGAUGCGGGUUCGAGUCCCGCUGGAACGC
rfam:Operophtera brumata OBRT01_Sc01850, whole genome shotgun sequence.